UUGAGACCAAGCGGCAAAUACCAAAGGGGAGAGAGCUGGAUCGGGCGGCCGGCGACUUGUGGGCGUCGACGGCCAAGGUUGCGGCGGCGGGGAGGGGGCGCGCCCGCGGCGGGCCUUGCUGCGGCGGGGCGGCGGGCCUCUUGGGCGCGCGACCGCGGCGGGGAGGGUGCGCGGCAGGGAGGGGGCGCGGUGUGAGCGGCGGCGCACCCGUCUCCUUCCUCCUCCUAUCGUCCCCUCCCUCCCGCAUUCCGCGCCGGAGUUGGGGACAGAGAGCUAGCGCCAGAUUGGGCGCUGCUACCCCGCCACCUCGUCCUCUCUCCGGGAGAUGGUGGCGAGUUCUGGCUGAGCUGAUCGUGUUGCCGAUGUUGGGUGAUUUUGAUGGGUUGAUUUUGCAUGGAUGGAUGAGUGGAGGGCGGUGGCUGUGGUGAGGAAAGGUGCCGACUUUGGCCGAUGCAAAUUUGGUGGUCUGGAUCGGUGAAAUGAAAUGUUUGCCUUCUUUGGCGGUUUCUCGUUGCGAUGUUCAACAAGAAUAAGUGGGUGAAUUGGUUGAUUCUUGAUGCGGAUAAUAUUGCCGUGAUCAGAAUUGAAUUUCCCAUGGAAAAAAUGGGGGUAAUCUGUGCAA